GAGAGAGGCACACAGCAAUGAAAAUUGCUAAUUUUCACAACUCUGGUUAAAUUCCUGAGCUCACUCG
rnacentral:tRNA from 1 species